AUGACACAUGUCACACUCAGGUUCGUAGGGGAGGCUCUGCUCCACUCAGUCACUCAGGGACCCAGGCUGAUGGAGGCUCUACCAUCUUCUAGCUGCACCAUCUGGAGCACAGAUGCCACAUCUGGGAAAGAAAGAUCAGAGAAUCACAUAUGGGAUUUUUAUAUUUUUUAUUUUAAUUGUAAUUUUUUUUUUUUUUUUGAGACAGUGUCACUCCGUCACCAGGUGCCAGGCUGGAGUGCAGUGACGCGACCUCGGCUCACUGCAACCUCCGCCUCCCGGGUUCAAGCGAUUCUCCUGCCUCAGCCUCCUGUUUAGCUGGGAUUACAGGCAUGUGUUGCCACGCCCAGCUAAUUUUGUAUUUUUAGUAGAGAUGAGGUUCUCCACGUUGGUCAGGCUGGUCUCAAACUCCUGACCUCAGGAGUUUCUCCACGUUGGUCAGGCUGGUCUCAAACUCCUGACCUCAUCCACAUCAGCCUCCCAAAGUGCUGGGAUUACAGGCAUGAACCACCACGCCCGGCCUAAAAUACAUAUUUAAGAGAUUAGAGUCUCACUAUGUUGCCCAGGCUGGUCUUGAACUCCCUGGGCUCAAGCAAUCUCCCAUUUUGGCCUUCCACAGUGCUGGGAUUACAGGCGUGAGCCACCAUGCCUGGCCUUUUUAAAAAGUUUUAGAGUUUUAUCUCUUACAGUUAGGUCUGUGAUCCAUUUUGAGUUUAUUUGUGUAUAUGGUGUGGGGUAGGGGUCCAACUUCCCCCUUUUGCAUGUGGAUUUCCAGUUGUCCUGACACCAUUUGUUGAAAAGACUUUCUCUGUUGAAUUAUCUUGGCACCCUGCACUUAAUUUUUUUUUUUUGCCACUUUGUCUAAGAAGCACUUACAUUUUUGAUGUUCCCAAAUUGUCCUCCACAGAGGUUACACUGAUAAAGUUGCAUCCAUAGGAGCUAAGAGACUGUAUCUCAGAUUGGGCCCCUAAGGUUAGCAAGGACACUGAUGAGCUCGAGUUUAUCAGGGACACACAGCAGAGUGGAGUGUGGGAGGAACUUGAGAGUGUCAUGAAAGGGGAGGUUAAGGAAGCAAAAAUGUUUCUCUCAGAGAAGAGAAAAAUGCAAGGGAAUGUACAUUUCUUCUGUGAGUAGAUGGGCCUGAGUUUGAAGCCCUGUUCUGCUCCUUUCCAGCUGAGUAGUCUUGGUCAGUUAUCAGAUCCAACUCUCUGAGUCUGUUUCAUCAUGUUAAACCAAGAUGGUGCCCACAACCACCUUUGCAGGGUUGUUGUGAGGAGCAAAUGUAUGUAAAUAUCCCAGCCCACAAUAGGC
rnacentral:lncRNA from 1 species